rnacentral:rRNA from 1 species
UACGUAGGGUGCAAGCGUUGUCCGGAAUUAUUGGGCGUAAAGAGCUCGUAGGCGGUUUGUCGCGUCGAAUGUGAAAACCCGGGGCUCAACUCCGGGCCUGCACUCGAUACGGGCAGACUAGAGUUCGGUAGGGGAGACUGGAAUUCCUGGUGUAGCGGUGAAAUGCGCAGAUAUCAGGAGGAACACCGGUGGCGAAGGCGGGUCUCUGGGCCGAUACUGACGCUGAGGAGCGAAAGCGUGGGGAGCGAACAGG